rnacentral:rRNA from 1 species
ACGAGAGGCCCAAACGUUAUUCGGAAUUACUGGGCUUAAAGAGUUCGUAGGCGGCGCAGAAAGUAGGGUGUGAAAGCCCUCGGCUCAACCGAGGAAUUGCGCUCUAAACUACUGUGCUCGAGGAAUCUAGAGGUGAGCGGAACUGAUGGUGGAGCGGUGAAAUGCGUUGAUAUCAUCAGGAACACCGGAGGCGAAGGCGGCUUCCUGGACCAGUACUGACGCUGAGGCGCGAAAGCUAGGGGAGCAAACAGGA